UCGAAUACAAAUGUACAUAUGUAUACUUCCAAUAUACAGCAAAAAUAUUCCCAAAAAGAUGAAAAAUUCCGAAGAGUGUUUAAAGAAUUAUUUUUUCUCAGAGAAGUGACAAAAGAAUGCUACGAAGAUAUAAAAAUUACAUUUUUGAGAAAAGAAGAUACAAAUACAAUACAUACAAAUGAGUCUACAUUUUUAAAUAAAUUCAAUUUUCCUUUACGACGCUUAGACGAAUUGAAUGAAGUAGAAGAGUAUCUUCAAGAACCAAAUAAUUUUUAAUCCACUGUAAGAGAACUUUCAAAAAUGGGAGGAGCUACUCCAUAUGAUUUUGUAAAACGAUGAUUGUCGAUUCUUUUCUCAAAUAGAUUUGCUGAAUAGUAUAGCUGACAAGGUGCUAAAAAAAAACAAAUAUUUGGAAAACUAUUUCUUGCAAAUGUGUUGCAAGAAAGUGCUUUAUUAUGUAAAGCGGCGAAAAAUCGAAAAGAAGUUGAGGAAGCUAUCAAAGCAUGGCUAAGACGUGCAAAGGAAAGAGUAAACAAAGAAGAAAAAUCGGAUUCCUCAUUGUAAACAUGUUUGCAUUUGUACAUAUAAUUUGUGUUGAAUUUUACUUUUUGUUCAUUUCAUGAUAUUUUUAAACAUAACACAAAAAUACGUGUUUGUAAUUUGUAUAUUAUUUUUCAUAACUGUAUGUAUACUUUUUAAACUUGUCUAUUAUAGCAUAAACUUUAUUUUGAAAGACAAAGAUUUAAAAAGACAAGUUUGUGUAUA